rnacentral:lncRNA from 1 species
AAAAGUGAAAUCUUUUAUUUUUUGUCUUUUGUUCUAUCGGUCCUAAGCAAGGAAGAAAGUGCAUGAAUUGAUCAAAAGGUUCUAAAAGUAUUAAAUUAAGUAAUGGGUCAAGGCUUCCAAGUAAUCUUUCUGCAAACUGGAAUUUGUGCUUUAAGCCAAACAAUUCUUUCACCAAAACUAGUAUUUGUAACCAUAGUUUUCUCCCAUAUCCUGUGGUGUUUUCAGGUACCUUUGAUUACGCUUGCUACAAUGACUCUAUGGCUCGGACAGCCCCACCGUUCCCAAAACCUGAUCAUUUCUCGUAUUUCGAUCGUAACUAUCUAACCCCAUUUCAGUUUAAUCUCACCAUUCUCUUAAUCACUAAUUGUGCUGCCGCAUGAGCUGUUCAAGUUUUCUUCUGCUUUCUUUACCACAGCAUGCUUCUGGUCUUUCUGUGGGAACGGAACUUGUGCAAAGAAAUCCAGGUUUGGGCACCGCUGCCAGUGCCAUGAGGGCUUCAGCAAUCUUCUGAAUGCCACCAGCUUCCCUUGCUUCAGAGACUGUAAUGCCACAUGACUUCUAAUUAGUAGAGGAAUAAUAAUAAUGAUAACACAUAUGCUUACUACUAUAAUAUCAGUAGAAUACUGCUACAGAUUCACAUAGAGUGGUGAUGUUUUGCAGGUACUCUUGGGGCAGAUUGCACAAACCUGGGGUUUACCUUGUCAAAUUCCUCCUAUCCAUCUUCCCCACCUAAUUUUUCUAGUACACGCAGUGAAGGUGAGGUUGUUGUCCAAAUUAUUUCUACUCCUCCCUCUCAAUCAGGGAAAAAAAAUUGAAGACCAGUCAGUAGACGAAAAAAUACAUGAUUAAAUUUCUUUUUUUUUAAAAAACCAUAUGUCAUCAUGGGGUUCAAACAGUCAUGUGAUAACUCUCCAUGGCAGUCCAUGGUCUUCAAUCUAUCCAUGUCUAUGUCCAGCUUCAUGAGGCAGCUUAGCUCUCCAAUAAAAUGGGGAUUUGUUUGGAAAUUAAUGCUGGAUUUUUUAAUUUUAUACCAUGAAUUUUUUGUUCAUGGUUUCAUUGAAUGCUCCUGAAAUAAAUUUUAGGAUUANNN